rnacentral:tRNA from 1 species
CAGAACAUAGCUCAGCUUGGUAGAGCGCUCGGUUCGGGACCGAGAGGCCGAGAGUUCAAAUCUCUUUGUUCUGACCA